AGAGUUUGAUCAUGGCUCAGGAUGAACGCUAGCGGCAGGCCUAAUACAUGCAAGUCGUGGGGCAGCAGGGUUGUAGCAAUACAAUCGCUGGCGACCGGCAAACGGGUGCGGAACACGUACGCAACCUUCCUUUAAGUGGAGGAUAGCCCGGGGAAACCCGGAUUAAUACUCCGUAACAUUAUGAAGUGGCAUCAUUUUAUAAUUAUAGCUCCGGCGCUUAAAGAUGGGCGUGCGUCUGAUUAGGUAGUUGGCGGGGUAACGGCCCACCAAGCCUACGAUCAGUAACUGGUGUGAGAGCACGACCAGUCACACGGGCACUGAGACACGGGCCCGACUCCUACGGGAGGCAGCAGUAAGGAAUAUUGGUCAAUGGACGCAAGUCUGAACCAGCCAUGCCGCGUGGAGGAUGAAGGUCCUCUGGAUUGUAAACUUCUUUUAUUUGGGAAGAAACCCACGGUUUCUACUGUGGUUGACGGUACCAGAUGAAUAAGCACCGGCUAACUCCGUGCCAGCAGCCGCGGUAAUACGGAGGGUGCAAGCGUUAUCCGGAUUCACUGGGUUUAAAGGGUGCGUAGGCGGGCAGGUAAGUCAGUGGUGAAAUCUCCGGGCUUAACCCGGAAACUGCCGUUGAUACUAUCUGUCUUGAAUAUCGUGGAGGUGAGCGGAAUAUGUCAUGUAGCGGUGAAAUGCUUAGAUAUGACAUAGAACACCAAUUGCGAAGGCAGCUCGCUACACGGUUAUUGACGCUGAGGCACGAAAGCGUGGGGAUCAAACAGGAUUAGAUACCCUAGUAGUCC
rnacentral:rRNA from 1 species